AAGAAACCAACAGGGAUUGCCUCAGUAGCGGCGAGUGAAGCGGCAAGAGCUCAGAUUUGAAAUCGUGCUUUGCGGCACGAGUUGUAGAUUGCAGGUUGGAGUCUGUGUGGAAGGCGGUGUCCAAGUCCCUUGGAACAGGGCGCCCAGGAGGGUGAGAGCCCCGUGGGAUGCCGGCGGAAGCAGUGAGGCCCUUCCGACGAGUCGAGUUGUUUGGGAAUGCAGCUCCAAGCGGGUGGUAAAUUCCAUCUAAGGCUAAAUACUGGCGAGAGACCGAUAGCGAACAAGUACUGUGAAGGAAAGAUGAAAAGCACUUUGAAAAGAGAGUGAAACAGCACGUGAAAUUGUUGAAAGGGAAGGGUAUUGCGCCCGACAUGGGGAUUGCGCACCGCUGCCUCUCGUGGGCGGCGCUCUGGGCUUUCCCUGGGCCAGCAUCGGUUCUUGCUGCAGGAGAAGGGGUUCUGGAACGUGGCUCUUCGGAGUGUUAUAGCCAGGGCCAGAUGCUGCGUGCGGGGACCGAGGACUGCGGCCGUGUAGGUCACGGAUGCUGGCAGAACGGCGCAACACCGCCCGUCUUGAAACACGGACC
rnacentral:rRNA from 1 species